rnacentral:misc_RNA from 1 species
UCGCGGCUUAUCACCGGCAGUCCCCCUAGAGUGCCCAACUGAAUGAUGGCAACUAGGGGCGAGGGCUGCGCUCGUUGCGGGACUUAACCCAACAUCUCACGACACGAGCUGACGACAGCCAUGCAGCACCUGUGCACGCUCCCGAAGGUCGGUCAGCUUUCGCUUCCCUACUACGUGCAUGUCAAACCCAGGUAAGGUUCUUCGCGUCGCAUCGAAUUAAACCACACGCUCCGCUGCUUGUGCGGGCCCCCGUCAAUUCCUUUGAGUUUCAGCCUUGCGGCCGUACUCCCCAGGCGGGGCACUUAAUGCGUUAGCGCCGGCACUCAGGGGGUCGCUCCCCCAAGCACCUAGUGCCCAUCGUUUACGGCGUGGACUAC